UCACAGCUCGUGCCUUUCUUUAUUAUUAACCCAGCCCCUGUUUUUCUGCACAGAUUGCAGAGCUGCUGCCAGAGGGACACGGAGGAGCCUCCAAAGAACUUCCUGGUGGCUGCCUGAGCAAAGAUUUCCAAUGAACAAAGAAAACAACCCCUGGCACC
rnacentral:lncRNA from 1 species